GUAUACUCCAGUCCAACUCUCCUGAUCCCACGCCGGUGGCGCUUUAUAAUCCCUUUUUGUGAGGAAAAUGCCACAAGAUUGCUUAUAGACGCGCACAAAAGUAUAGGCGAGAACAGAACGAGCGAUAACAAAAAUAUCUACAGAGACUUGAUAAGGCAGAAGGAAAUGAUGAAAGACGCCAAGCCCAGAUAAAAUCAGCAACUUGAUUUCUUUUUGACCAUGCAAAGGGGAGGAAUGUCAGGAAUUCACGGCUGGUUAGAGGACACAGACAUUUCACCUCUUGCCAGUCAAUGGGGCGAAUUAAGGACGUACUGCGGCGUGUGGAAGGAAUAUCACCUUAGGACGGAAGAGAAUCAUUUGGAUGUGGAAAUCACCUUCGCA